rnacentral:rRNA from 1 species
CUGACCUCAAAUCAGGUAGGACUACCCGCCGAACUUAAGCAUAUCAAUAAGCGGAGGAAAAGAAACUAACCAGGAUUCCCCUAGUAACGGCGAGUGAAGCGGGAAGAGCUCAAAUUUGUAAUCUGGCGGUCUAUGGCCGUCCGAGUUGUAGUCUGGAGAAGCGUUUUCUGCGUCGGACCGUGUACAAGUCCCUUGGAACGGGGCGUCGUAGAGGGUGAGAAUCCCGUCUUUGACACGGACUGCCGAUGCUUUGUGAUGCGCUCUCAAAGAGUCGAGUUGUUUGGGAAUGCAGCUCAAAACGGGUGGUAAAUUCCAUCUAAAGCUAAAUAUGGGCGAAAGACCGAUAGCGAACAAGUACCGUGAGGGAAAGAUGAAAAGCACUUUGGAAAGAGAGUUAAACAGUACGUGAAAUUGUUGAAAGGGAAACGCUUGAAGUCAGUCGCGUCUUCCGGGACUCAGCCUAGCUUUUGCCUGGCGUAUUUCCUGGGGUGACGGGCCAGCAUCGAUUUCGACCGUCGGAGAAGGGCUUUGGGAACGUGGCACCUUCGGGUGUGUUAUAGCCCUCGGUCGUAUGCGACGGUCGGGAUCGAGGAUCGCAGCACGCCUUUUUGGCCGGGGUUCGCCCACGUAACGUGCUAGGA